CAAUAGCGUAUAUUAAAGUUGUUGCAGUUAAAAAGCUCGUAGUUGGAUUUGUGGCGUACGGUGUGUUCCGGGCACUUGUUGUCUGAGUAACCUGCUGUUGCCAUCCUUGGGUGGAACCUGUGUGGCAUUAGGUUGUCGUGCAGGGGAUGCCCAUCAUUUACUGUGAAAAAAUUAGAGUGUUCAAAGCAGGCUUAUGCCGUUGAAUAUAUUAGCAUGGAAUAAUGAGAUAGGACUUUUUUGCUAUUUUGUUGGUUUGCGCAAAGAGGUAAUGAUUAAUAGGGACAGUUGGGGGUAUUCGUAUUCCAUUGUCAGAGGUGAAAUUCUUGGAUUUUUGGAAGACGAACUACUACGAAAGCAUUUACCAAGGAUGUUUUCAUUAA
rnacentral:rRNA from 1 species